rnacentral:pre_miRNA from 1 species
AGAGGGAUAGCUGGGUCAAAUGGUGGUUCCAUUCCCAGAUUUCCAAGGAAUCUCCAUACUGCUUACCAUAUUGGCUGCACCAAUUUGCAGUCCCACUAGCAAU